AGAGAGAGAGAGAGAGAGAGAGAGAGAGAGAGAGAGAGGAGAAACAGAAGGGGGAAGGAAAAAGAUCUCUAUUAAUUCUGCUUUCAUGGAAUCGGGUGAGCAGCUUAAUCUAACCCAGCAUCAGUCUUUAGUUCCUCAUUGCAAGGUUGGGGUCGCGUGCCUGCACCACAGAAGUGGGUUGGUACUGGAAGAACCGUGUAAAGAACACUGUGUGAGAAUCCUGCAGCAGCGACUGCCUCCAGAAGAAGCUGCCUAGGAGGAUGGAGGUGAGGUCAGCUCAUGGCAACUGGGAGCGGGAAAGACUGCAGAAGGGAAACCCCAAGAGCAGAAUGGUGCCAGGUGCUUCCUACCGGAGAAGACACAAUGGAGGGGCCAGAAGCUCAGAAAUGGGAGAGCAGAUGUGCCUAAUUUUUUUGGAGAAAUGUUGAGUACUGAGUGUCGCGACCUCUCUCUCCCAGCUGAAGUUAUCAGGAAAGCAACUCUCCGAGUCCCAGUUUGCUCGGUCACUGAUUUAACUAAUUAAUUAUGUGUGGACGCUGAAAAGGUGGCUGAGAUCUGAUGCAAGGGUUCUGAACAGUGUGCUCCCACGGGUGAUAAGGGUUGUCAGUGGUCGCUGUCAUCACGUCACAGAUGGAUGACGGAUAAGCAAACCACAGUGAAUGCUAAGGGCCUCGAAAGCAUUUAAAUGUCUGGGUUACAGAAACCGAGGUGUGUGCAGAUCUGAGCUGAGGAGCCUUUACGUCAUUAAAAGACAGUCUGAGAAGAGGAACCUGUUUGUCUUCUACAACUGUGCUACUCCCAAGAGUUCCCUGUAAGCUGUGAAUAAACCAAGGCCGACGCCUUCUUCCAAGUUCCUGAUGCGGGACUGAUUUCCCGGUGCAUCCGACGCCAACACGCUCUUUGCUGGGCUGCUCUUUCGCCUCCUCUCCAUCUCCUCGCUUUUGCUAUGUGCUGUGGACUUUCCUUUCUGUUUUUCAGGUCUCUCCCCAUUCCUGACUCCUGCUUCUCUCUCUUUAGUACCUGACCCCCAGAAAGCCGUCUCUGGAGAAAGGACUUGCUUCUAGGAACAGAACAGCAGGAGCUGGGAUGCAAUGACCCAGAGGAGGGCUGCAAGGCCCUAAGAUGUAGAAACACUGGACAGAAGGAGUCCAGGCCCCUGAAUGACAUGGAAGAAUAGAGCCCCAGUGUUGUCUGCCCUGUCCCCUACUUUGUGACUUAACUAGCAAUGAGUUUGUAUUCUCUAAAAUCGCUGAAAUAGUGAGGUUGUUUGUUACGGCAAUCACUUUCCCUUGGUUGACUCACCCAUUAAAAUUGAAAAGUGCUAAUGAAAAGACUCCAUUUGACCUUGAAGAACGGGCAGGAUAGUGCACGCAAUUUCCUAAUAAUU